rnacentral:rRNA from 1 species
AUAUACGACCGUACCGCAAACCGACACUGGUGCGCGAGAUGAGUAUUCUAAGGCGCUUGAGAGAACUCAGGAGAAGGAACUCGGCAAAUUGACACCGUAACUUCGGAAGAAGGUGUGCCCUAUUAGUGUGUAGUGAACAACGAAGCAUGAAUGGGUUGCAAAAAAUCGGUGGCUGCGACUGUUUAUUAAAAACACAGCACUCUGCAAACACGAAAGUGGACGUAUAGGGUGUGACGCCUGCCCGGUGCUGGAAGAUUAAAUGAUGGGGUGCAAGCUCUUGAUUGAAGUCCCAGUAAACGGCGGCCGUAACUAUAACGGUCCUAAGGUAGCGAAAUUCCUUGUCGGGUAAGUUCCGACCUGCACGAAUGGCGUAACGAUGGCCACACUGUCUCCUCCUGAGACUCAGCGAAGUUGAAAUGUUUGUGAUGAUGCAAUCUCCCCGCGGAAAGACGGAAAGACCCCAUGAACCUUUACUGUAGCUUUGUAUUGGACUUUGAACAGAUCUGUGUAGGAUAGGUGGGAGGCUUUGAAGCAGGGUCGCUAGAUCUUGUGGAGCCAACGUUGAAAUACCACCCUGGUGUGUUUGAGGUUCUAACCUAGGUCCAUUAUCUGGAUCGGGGACAGUGCAUGGUAGGCAGUUUGACUGGGGCGGUCUCCUCCCAAAGCGUAACGGAGGAGUUCGAAGGUACGCUAGUUACGGUCGGACAUCGUGACGAUAGUGCAAUGGCAUAAGCGUGCUUAACUGCGAGACUGACAAGUCGAGCAGAUGCGAAAGCAGGACAUAGUGAUCCGGUGGUUCUGUAUGGAAGGGCCAUCGCUCAACGGAUAAAAGGUACUCUGGGGAUAACAGGCUGAUACCGCCCAAGAGUUCAUAUCGACGGCGGUGUUUGGCACCUCGAUGUCGGCUCAUCUCAUCCUGGGGCUGUAGCCGGUCCCAAGGGUAUGGCUGUUCGCCAUUUAAAGAGGUACGUGAGCUGGGUUUAAAACGUCGUGAGACAGUUUGGUCCCUAUCUUCCGUGGGCGCUGCAGAUUUGAGGAAGCCUGCUCCUAGUACGAGAGGACCGGAGUGGACACACCUCUGGUGUAUCGGUUGUCACGCCAGUGGCAUUGCCGAGUAGCUAAGUGUGGAAGAGAUAACCGCUGAAAGCAUCUAAGCGGGAAACUCGUUUCAAGAUGAGAUCUGCCGGGGCCUUGAGCCCCCUAAAGAGUCGUUCAAGACCAGGACGUUGAUAGGUCAGGUGUGGAAGCCAAAGG